rnacentral:rRNA from 1 species
AUCAACGCUGGCGGCGUGCCUAACACAUGCAAGUCGUACGAGAAAGUGGAGCAAUCCAUGAGUAAAGUGGCGACCGGGUGAGUAACACGUGACUACCUACCUUCUAGUGGGGGAUAACUCCGGGAAACCGGAGCUAAUACCGCAUAACAUCGCAAGAUCAAAGCAGCAAUGCGCUGGAAGAGGGGGGUCGCGCCUGAUUAGCUAGUUGGUAAGGUAACGGCUUACCAAGGCGAAGAUCAGUAGCCGGCCUGAGAGGGCGCACGGCCACACUGGAACUGAAACACGGUCCAGACUCCUACGGGAGGCAACAGUGGGGAAUUUUGCGCAAUGGGGGAAACCCUGACGCAGCAACGCUGCGUGGAGGAUGAAGUCCUUUGGGACGUAAACUCCUUUCGACCAAGACGAUGAUGACGGUACUGGUGGAAGAAGCACCGGCUAACUCUGUGCCAGCAGCCGCGGUAAUACAGAGGGUGCGAGCGUUGUUCGGAAUUAUUGGGCGUAAAGGGCGCGUAGGCGGCGCCACAAGUCACCUGUGAAAUCUCCCGGCUCAACUGGGAGCUUGCAGGCGAAACUGUGGUGCUGGAGUAUGGGAGAGGUGCGUGGAAUUCCCGGUGUAGCGGUGAAAUGCGUAGAUAUCGGGAGGAACACCUGUGGCGAAAGCGGCGCACUGGACCAUAACUGACGCUGAGGCGCGAAAGCUAGGGGAGCAAACAGGAUUAGAUACCCUGGUAGUCCUAGCCCUAAACUAUGGAUGCUUGGUGUAGCAGGUACCCAAUCCUGCCGUGCCGAAGCUAACGCGAUAAGCAUCCCGCCUGGGGAGUACGGUCGCAAGACUGAAACUCAAAGGAAUUGACGGGGGCCCGCACAAGCGGUGGAGCAUGUGGUUCAAUUCGACGCAACGCGAAGAACCUUACCUGGGCUCGAAAUGUAGGAGACUGGGGUAGAAAUAUCCCUUUCCGCAAGGACCCCUAUAUAGGUGCUGCAUGGCUGUCGUCAGCUCGUGUCGUGAGAUGUUGGGUUAAGUCCCGCAACGAGCGCAACCCUUAUCUCUAGUUGCCAUCGGGUCAAGCCGGGCACUCUAGCGAAACCGCGUAGGAUAACUACGAGGAAGGUGGGGAUGACGUCAAGUCCUCAUGGCCUUUAUGUCCAGGGCUACACACGUGCUACAAUGGUCGGUACAAAACGUCGCAAACCCGUGAGGGGGAGCUAAUCGGAAAAAGCCGGCCUCAGUUCGGAUUGGAGUCUGCAAUUCGACUCCAUGAAGCUGGAAUCGCUAGUAAUCGCAGAUCAGAACGCUGCGGUGAAUACGUUCCCGGGCCUUGUACACACCGCCCGUCACAUCACGAAAGUGGACUGCACUAGAAGUCGGCGUGCUAACCGCAAGGAGGCAGCCGCCCAAGGUAUGGUUCAUGAUUGGGGUG